CCUACGGGAGGCAGCAGUGGGGAAUAUUGGUCAAUGGGCGCAAGCCUGACCCAGCAACGCCGCGUGAAGGAAGAAGGCUUUCGGGUUGUAAACUUCUUUUCUCAGGGACGAAGAAAGUGACGGUACCUCAGGAAUAAGCCACGGCUAACUACGUGCCAGCAGCCGCGGUAAUACGUAGGGGGCAAGCGUUAUCCGGAUUUAUUGGGUGUAAAGGGCGUGUAGGCGGGAACGCAAGUCAGAUGUGAAAACCCAGGGCUCAACCCUGAGCGUGCAUUUGAAACUGUGUUUCUUGAGUACAGGAGAGGCAAUCGGAAUUCCGUGUGUAGCGGUGAAAUGCGUAGAUAUAAGGAGGAACACCAGUGGCGAAGGCGGAUUGCUGGACAGUAACUGACGCUGAGGCGCGAAAGCGUGGGGAGCGAACAGGAUUAGAUACCCCAGUAGUC
rnacentral:rRNA from 1 species